GAUGAACGCUGGCGGCGUGCCUAAUACAUGCAAGUCGAACGAGGUGCUUGAGUAGCAAUACAAGAGUAUCCUAGUGGCGAACGGGUGAGUAACGCGUGGGUGACCUGCCCCGAAGUGUGGGAUAACAGUCCGAAAGGAUUGCUAAUACCUCAUGUGGUUAUCGGAUUUAGAAACUGAUAACUAAAGCAGCAAUGCGCUUUGGGAGGGACCUGCGUCCCAUCAGCUAGUUGGUGAGGUAAUGGCUCACCAAGGCUACGACGGGUAGGGGACCUGAGAGGGUGGCCCCCCANAAUGGAACUGAAACACGGUCCAUACACCUACGGGUGGCAGCAGUAGGGAAUAUUGCACAAUGGGCGAAAGCCUGAUGCAGCAACGCCGCGUGUGCGAUGAAGGCCUCGGUCGUAAAGCACUUUCUGAGAGAUGAGAAAGGACAGUAUCUCAGGAAUAAGUCUCGGCUAACUACGUGCCAGCAGCCGCGGUAAAGUAG
rnacentral:rRNA from 1 species